AAUAAUGUUAUAGUAAUUAUAAUUAUGAAACUUUACCUAUCAUUUUUGUAACUAAAAAAACUCAUUUUGCUAUUGCGUCAUGCUGUGCAUUGUCGCGAAAGACAGGUCUGUGGAUUUGUAACGACAAAAAUGGUGAGUAAAAGCUAUUUUGGUUGCAUCCAUCAAAACUUCUUCCGAUAAGAUAAGAUAAAUUAUUAAAGUUCUGUUCUAAUAUGUGUAUGUUAUUAUUUAGCUGAGAAUAGCGAUCCUAAAUUUUUUGCAAGGAAGGCAUGCUAUGACAAGAAUGAAAAAAAUGACGAAAAUAGGCAUAAAACGGGACUGGCGGGACCUUGCUCAGCACAGGGAGGAUUGGAAAGCUAGAUGGGAGGCCUUUGCCCAGCAGUGGGACACACAAAUAGGCUAAUAAAAAAAAUAAAAAAACGAUUAGUGAUUAUAAGAGGCUUUUAUUAUCGUUAAACAGAAGUGAUCUCAAUUUUGUUAAUACUCAAUACUUUGAUAAGCUAUUACAUUGUUUUUUUAAUAAAGUUUUUUAUCUUUUCUUGGUGA